rnacentral:lncRNA from 1 species
GUUAUCUAUACAUAGCAAGAUCUGCCAAUCCUCCCAUCAUUCGUUUCAAUCCACAAGAUGGAUCCACCAUGGAAUUCAGCUAUGAUGGUUCAGCACAGUCAAUUUCUGUCGAUGAAUACAAUAAUGUCAUCUAUUGGACGAAUUUCAUAGGAAACACAAACACUCAUGAGAUUAUGAAAACAUCUUACAGUGGCGUGACCACGCAGUUGAACAUUACCUAUUCGGAACCACUAGAACUUACCAACAACGUUUUGAAUUUAUAUGUCCUGGACAAAGACAGCAUGCAUGUUGACAUAUAUCUCAAGAC